AGGACUCCGAUGCGGAGCCGCGUUCAAGUCACCACAUCCGUGUCACUGUCACAUUCCUUUGGGUUCCACUUGGUGGAUCAGGGUCGCCACCGUGCGCCGCCCCAAAUUCUACUGUCAAAACGCGGACCAUAAUCGCAUCCAUAUCUGAUUCACAAACGCGGACGCGCUGUAAAAUCUAACGGACGUUGGUACAGUUUUUGUUGGGGCAGACACGACCGAACAGCGCUCUCCAUAAACAGGUGGAAUUACCUCUGGGUCGGACAGGGCUAGCCAGCUGUAAUCCACCCUGCUACGGUGAUGCCCGCCUGCCUCCCGGCUUUUACGACCAAGAAUCGGAGCGCUGAUGUGAUGUUUCCCCGUCGACUGAUGAGGGAAGGAAGAGAAGGCAGCCACGACACGCGAUUGUUCAACAUGACAGUGAGACAGAAAAAUAAUGUCAAGAUAAAUAAAAAAUCAUGAUGAGUGAA